rnacentral:rRNA from 1 species
ACGAACGCUGGCGGCGUGCUUAACACAUGCAAGUCGAACGGAAAGGCCCCUUUGGGGGUACUCGAGUGGCGAACGGGUGAGUAACACGUGAGUAACCUGCCCUUGACUCCGGGAUAACUUCAGGAAACUGGGGCUAAUACCGGAUAGGAAUCCUUGCUGCAUGGUGGGGGUUGGAAAGCUUCGGCGGUUUUGGAUGGACUCGCGGCUUAUCAGCUUGUUGGUGGGGUAGUGGCUUACCAAGGCUUUGACGGGUAGCCGGCCUGAGAGGGCGACCGGCCACAUUGGGACUGAGAUACGGCCCAGACUCCUACGGGAGGCAGCAGUGGGGAAUAUUGCACAAUGGGCGGAAGCCUGAUGCAGCAACGCCGCGUGCGGGAUGACGGCCUUCGGGUUGUAAACCGCUUUCAGCAGGGGCGAAGCUUGUGGUGACGGUACCUGCAGAAGAAGCACCGGCUAACUACGUG